UACGAAGGGUGCAAGCGUUACUCGGAAUUACUGGGCGUAAAGCGUGCGUAGGUGGUUUGUUAAGUCUGCUGUGAAAGCCCCGGGCUCAACCUGGGAAUGGCAGUGGAUACUGGCAAGCUAGAGUGCGAUAGAGGGGUGUGGAAUUCCCGGUGUAGCGGUGAAAUGCGUAGAGAUCGGGAGGAACACCAGUGGCGAAGGCGGCACCCUGGAUCAGCACUGACACUGAGGCGCGAAAGCGUGGGGAGCAAACAGG
rnacentral:rRNA from 1 species